rnacentral:rRNA from 1 species
GACGAACGAUGACGGCGUGCUUAACACAUGCAAGUCGAACGAAGUGGCGAACGGGUGAGUAACGCGUAAUCAACCUGCCCUUCAGAGGGGGACAACAGCUGGUAACGACUGCUAAUACCGCAUACUGUAGCAAGGGGUUGCGUCUGAGUAGAUAGUUGGAGGGGUAGCGGCCAACGAAGGCGAUGAUCAGUAGCGGGGCUGAUAGGAUGAGCGGCCACAUUGUGACUGAGACACGGCCCAGACUCCUACGGGAGGCAGAAGUGGGAAAGCUGCAGAAAGGGACGAAAGUCUGACGGAGAAACUCCGAGGGAGUGAGGAGGGCCUUCGGGUUGUAAGGCUUUGUUAAUCGUGACGCGGUACCGGAAUAGAAAGCCACGGCUAACUACGUGCCAGCCGCCGCGGUAAUAC